rnacentral:lncRNA from 1 species
UUAGGAUAUUCUUUUAGAUAUCCUAAUAUCUAGAUGAGAGGCCUUCCUUCAUAAGAUCUGGUUGUUUGGGCUGUGGUUGGCAUAAGUGAUAUUUAUUUUGGCCUCUGUCACAUCCAGUUUCUUGAGCUUUUAAGGUAAGCUUCUUUUGGCUUUUUUUCAGAUGUUCACCAAGCUUAAGUUUAAAAUAAUAGGUAUUCUAAAAGAGUAUCCUAAUUUUCUUAUCUGUAUUCUUUUAGAAUACCCUAAUGUUUCAGACAGUGAUAUUCUCUUGUUAUUUCUAAGGCUAAAUUGGCAGAGUAUAUCAUCUAAAACCAAACACUGAAGAAGGUGAGAACCCACUCCCACCCAGCCAGCAUUUCCUGGAACAGACAAGCUGCUGCUUCCUUGCUGGCUCACUUAGUGCAUUCCUGGGAUGGUCUGGCACCCAGGCUUUUUAUUCUUUUUGAUCAUUGUUCUUACUGAGGUGCCUUCCUAGAACAAGAGCCACUUACAAAAUAGCUUAUAAUUAUUAUGUACCACACAACUACUAUUGUUUGAUGUAUGACUGCUGAGAGCUUGAAUACAUGCAGAGAGUGACUGAAGACUUAAUAGAGGAAUAAAUUCUGAGCCUGUCUAAGGUGGGGCUAAGGAACAGAUGAGUAAUAAGAGGCUCUUGGAUUUUUUUAACCAAUGCAACUGACCCUUUCAAUCAGUUUUCUUUGAAUUACAUCUACAAGUUUUGUUCCACUCAGCUACCAGUCAACUAGGCAUGCUCCACAGUAUCGCAGGAAGAAGGUCAGAAAUCUGGAACUGAAGCUAAAAGAAGUGAGGAUGUAGAAGCCACAUUCCUCUCCAAGGUAGUGUGUGAAAGAACCGCCCCCUCUUGACAGGAGGAUGACCAUCACCAUUCUUGCGUGGGACUGACUCACCCAGCUGAGAGGAGGACCAAUAGAAAGAAACGCCCCCUCUUGACAGGAGGAUGAC